AACAAACACACACAAAUUCCUAUCCUCAUGUUCAUAUGAGUAGGAAAAGCAAAUAAUGUGGUAAAUAAAAUAUAAAAGUUUGUUAGUAGUUACUUCUAAAAAGAAAAUUAAUACAGAAAGGGCCUCUGGAUAGAACAUGCCAGUGAUAGUCGAAUUGCAACUCAGGUGCAGGAUCAAACUAGAGAGAUGUUCUCCUUGUCUUGCCUCCUCCUAAAAUUGUGCUCCAGGAAAGAUAUUCCCUAGUUGUAGAGUAUACACCAGAGCCUGUGAGGGAUAGUGAUAAGUGAGUGGACACAUUACUGCAAAAAGUGACCGCAGGACUACAAGAAGAGCUGCAAAUAUGAAGACAAAACAACAUGGGACCAUUGUGAUGUGAGGACAUAGCAAGGAGGAAGCUGUCUGCAAGCCCAGAAGAGACCCCUCACCACACCAUGCUGGCAUCCUAACCUCAAACUUCCAGACUCCAGAACGUUGGAAAAAUAAAUUCCUGUCAUUACAUCCACCUAGUCUAUGGUAUUUUGUAUGGCAGCUGAUUAGACACUGGCACUUCUGCUUUUGUUCUUAGCCUAUAAUACUGCUAUUGAACACUACUCCCACACAUUCUGUGGAAUACCUGUUCAUAGCAGGAGUUCUACUCCUGGUGACCCAGAUCACUACACCAAUCCUGGCAUUGGGUUUCAAUGUUAUAGCUCAUUACAUUUCACUCUCAAAUGCUCAGCUUAUACUCCCACAGCAGUGAAAUUGACUCUAGAAAAGACUGCCAG
rnacentral:lncRNA from 1 species